UACGUAGGUGGCGAGCGUUGUUCGGAUUUACUGGGCGUAAAGGGCGCGUAGGCGGCCACCGCAAGUCAGUUGUGAAAUCUCUGGGCUUAACCCAGAAAGGUCAACUGAUACUGCGGGGCUAGAGUGCAGAAGGGGCAACUGGAAUUCUCGGUGUAGCGGUGAAAUGCGUAGAUAUCGAGAGGAACACCUGCGGCGAAGGCGGGUUGCUGGGCUGACACUGACGCUGAGGCGCGAAAGCUAGGGGAGCGAACGGG
rnacentral:rRNA from 1 species